UCAGAAUACUGCGUACGUUGAGUAUAUAAAAAAAAUGUUCUCUUGUUUAUAAGUUUCGUCUGUGCAUGCGCCAAAAAAGGGAUAACUAGGGUGAAAUAUUGGUUCCUGCGCUCAUUCUGCUCUGACCUCUAAAAGCGACCACAUCGGUAAAUCGUAUUAUUUUAUGUAUUAAAUUUAUCUGGAAUAUACUUUUAUAGUUAUUCACACAAAUUUAUUACAGUAUCAGAAGCAUAAUAAAUGUUCGGAAUACUGCGUACGUUGAGUAUAUAAAAAAAUUUUCUCUUGUUUAUAAGUGCGUCUGCGCAUGCGCGAAAAAUGGAUAAAUAGCGUGAAAUAUUGCUUCCUGUGCUCAUUCUGCUGUGACCUCUAGAGGCGACCACAUCGGUAAAUCGUAUUAUUUUAUGUAUUAAAUUUAUCUGGAAUAUACGUUUAUAGUUAUUCACACAAAUUUAUUACAGUAUCAGAAGCAUAAGAAAUGUUCGGAAUACGGCGUACGUUGAGUAUAUAAAAAAAUUUACUCUUGUUUAUAAGUGUCGUCCCCUGAUGCGCGAAAAAAUGGAUAAAUAGCGUGAAAUAUUGCUUCCUGUGCUCAUUCUGCAGUGAUCUCUAGAGGCGGCCACAUCGGUAAAUCCUAUUAUUUUGAAUAUUAAAUUUAUCUAGAAGAUACUUUUAUAGUUAUUCACACAAAUUUAUUACAGUAUCAGAAGCAUAAUAAAUGUUCGGAAUACUGCGUACGUUGAGUAUAUAAAAAAAUUUUCUCUUGUUUAUAAGUGCGUCUGCGCAUGCGCGAAAAAUGGAUAAAUAGCGUGAAAUAUUGCUUCCUGUGCUCAUUCUGCUGUGACCUCUAGAGGCGACCACAUCGGUAAAUCGUAUUAUUUUAUGUAUUAAAUUUAUCUGGAAUAUACUUUUAUAGUUAUUCACACAAAUUUAUUACAGUAUCAGAAGCAUAAGAAAUGUUCGGAAUACGGCGUACGUUGAGUAUAUAAAAAAAUUUUCUCUUGUUUAUAAGUGCGUCUGCGCAUGCGCGAAAAAUGGAUAAAUAGCGUGAAAUAUUGCUUCCUGUGCUCAUUCUGCUGUGACCUCUAGAGGCGGCCACAUGGUAUCAGAAGUAAACUAGAGAUUCAGAAUACUGUGCAAGUUGAGUUUAUAAAAGAAUUUUCUCUUGUUUAUAAGUGCGUCUGCGCAUGCGCGAAAAAUGGAUAAAUAGCGUGAAAUAUUGCUUCCUGUGCUCAUUCUGCUGUGACCUCUAGAGGCGGCCACAUGGUAUCAGAAGUAAACUAGAGAUUCAGAAUACUGUGCAAGUUGAGUUUAUAAAAGAAUUUUCUCUGGUUUAUAAGUGUCGUCCCCUCAUGCGCAAAAAAUGGAUAAAUAGCGUCAAAUAUUGCCUCCUGUUCUCCUUCUGCUGUGACCUCUAGAGGCGGCCACAUCG